rnacentral:rRNA from 1 species
UACGAAGGGGGCUAGCGUUGCUCGGAAUCACUGGGCGUAAAGCGCACGUAGGCGGACUCUUAAGUCGGUGGUGAAAUCCUGGAGCUCAACUCCAGAACUGCCUCCGAUACUGGGAGCCUUCGAGUCCGGGAGAGGUGAGUGGAACCGCGAGUGUAGAGGUGAAAUUCGUAGAUAUUCGCAAGAACACCAGUGGCGAAGGCGGCUCACUGGCCCGGUACUGACGCUGAGGUGCGAAAGCGUGGGGAGCAAACAGG